UAGAGAAGUAGAUCAUAAAAGUAUAAACAUUAUCAAGUACAAAUACAAUUCAUUGAUUUUAUAUAUUAUAGUUUUGUAUAGACAUCCCAAAUGAACACCUCAAAGAACAUAUUAUUAAAACUUCAUAAAUAGAGAAAAAAAAAUCUUAGGGGACUAGACCAAAACCCAAGAGAACAAAUAUUACAAACAAGUGUCUCAUUAAAAACUUAAAAAUAAAAACACAAUGAUAUAAAAUACGCUAAAGGAAAAAGAGUGCAAUGCAUAUAAAUACAAUUAAAUUUAGACACCAAAUAAACAUCAAUCAAAUGGUGUAGCUUCUAAAGUGUAUUGACAAAUACCAUCAAUACACGUUAAAAGUAGAGGUUUUUUGACCUUGUGACAAUCACUGUCAGAAACACAUGGAAUUUUAGCUACAUUGUCAAGUAAGAAGAAAAAAUGUUAGAAAAUUGUGAUAAGUGUUGUGCAUAAGAUAAAAUUAGAAAAUUGAACAUAAUGUAAAAAAUGACAUACUUGGUUCCCUUGCUUCAACAAGAAAAAGAGAAACAAUGAUGAUAAUAAAAUAAACAAAUAAGAGAAAUUG
rnacentral:lncRNA from 1 species